CCUCCCCAGACAAGGCACUGUCCAUCAACAGGGCUCUCCGUGGCCCUUUGGGCACUUAGGGCCAGAGACCGACCACAGGACCCCCACACCUAGGGUCUGAGUGCCCCCUGUCCCCUACACCUCCCCAGCACCUCUCAAGCUUCCGUGGAGUGUAGGCCCCUGUCCCUCCCGGCGCCAGCCACACAUUUGGGGGCUGUGACAGAACCAUCUGUCUGCUGGAUUUUUGCCGUUCGUCUGUUUGUCC